UACGUAGGGUGCGAGCGUUGUCCGGAAUUAUUGGGCGUAAAGAGCUCGUAGGCGGUGUGUCGCGUCGGUCGUGAAAACUUUCAGCUUAACUGGGAGCUUGCGGUCGAUACGGGCAUCACUGGAGUUCGGCAGGGGAGACUGGAAUUCCUGGUGUAGCGGUGAAAUGCGCAGAUAUCAGGAGGAACACCAGUGGCGAAGGCGGGUCUCUGGACAGUUCCUGACGCUGAGGCACGAAGGCCAGGGGAGCAAACGGG
rnacentral:rRNA from 1 species